AUUGAACGCUGGCGGUAGGCCUAACACAUGCAAGUCGAACGAGUGGCGGACGGGUGAGGAAUACAUCGGAAUCUACUCUGUCGUGGGGGAUAACGAAGGGAAACGUACGCUAAUACCGCAUACGAUCGAAUGUGCCGAUGUCGGAUUAGCUAGUUGGCGGGGUAAAGGCUCACCAAGGCGACGAUCCGUAGCUGGUCUGAGAGGAUGAUCAGCCACACUGGAACUGAGACACGGUCCAGACUCCUACGGGAGGCAGCAGUGGGGAAUAUUGGACAAUGGGCGCAAGCCUGAUGCAGCCAUGCCGCGUGGGUGAAGAAGGCCUUCGGGUUGUAAAGCACUUUUGUUGGGAAAGCGGUACCCAAAGAAUAAGCACCGGCUAACUUCGUGCCAGCAGCCGCGGUAAUUC
rnacentral:rRNA from 1 species